GGCAGCGACGCCUCGGCCCUGCGGACUUCCUUGGUCCGUGGGGUGGUGGCCGCCCUCUUCAAUCCCCGCUCGUUUUCCACGGGGAGCGCCCACUCCGACUUGGGCAGGGGUGGGGCUCUGAGGGGCCGGUCGGAGGGGAGAGUCGAUUGCGUUGGCGCCGGAAGAAGCUUCUAGUUAGGAUGUUUCCCGGAUAAGUACUGUCUGGCAGUUCCGCAGCCUGGCCCAAACUGAAGGGAGCCAUAUUGUCCCUCUUGUCUCCCAGUUUGUAUCGUGGUCUCCAUCUGUGCCAGUGUAUUAUCGUUAUCUGGUGCUUUUUUUCUUUUUCUUUCUUUCUUUCUUUUUUUCUUUUUCUUUUUCUUCUUUUAAUCCUCUGUUUACUUGUCCUCAUUGUCUCAGGCCCUGGGAAUGCUCAGGAAGGCUGCGCAGUAUUGGAGGGACAGAAUGACCUUCCAGCCCUGAGUCCCUGGUGCCUGGGUGUGUGGACAGAACAGAGGACCCCAGAGAUGCUCCUCGCUGGUGACUUCCUGUGCCCCACUCCUGGAGCCUGGGGGAGUUGGUUCUAGAAUUCCUCAGAAGAGGCAUUCUCUAUGUGCCCAGAACAUUCUCCCCACUGGGGUUUAGGAGUUCCGAAAUAGCUGUUUUUUGUUUUUGUUUGUUUUUUAAUGUUUGUUUGUUUGUUUGUUUAUUUUGA